rnacentral:rRNA from 1 species
ACAUGCCUACAACAUAGUGUUAAUGCAUCAAAUCCCAUUAUAACUUCACAGUUAAGUGUGCUCAGGAUAGAGUAGUAAUGGGACGAGUGAUCUCUUGGGAAGUCCUAGUGUUUUACAUGCC